AAAUGACUUUUGAACUUAGUGGCGGACGGGUGAGUAACGCGUGAGCAACCUGCCUUUCAGAGGGGGACAACAUUCCGAAAGGGAUGCUAAUACCGCAUGACACAUAGAUGUCGCAUGGCAUUUAUGUCAAAGAUUUAUCGCUGAAAGAUGGCCUCGCGUCUGAUUAGCUAGUUGGUGAGGUAACGGCCCACCAAGGCGACGAUCAGUAGCCGGACUGAGAGGUUGAACGGCCACAUUGGGACUGAGAUACGGCCCAGACUCC
rnacentral:rRNA from 1 species